rnacentral:lncRNA from 1 species
AACCACCCCCAAACUAAGCUAGAGCAAUGUCCUCAUGCGAAAAAAAAAAAAUAAGUCAAAAUAAAACAGAGGACUUCCCUGACGAAUUUAUUCUUCUGGGGGAGCAUCAUCGUCCUCGCUCAUCUCUUGAUCGGACGGGGGAAAUACUGGCAGAACGGGAGCCGUAGGGAAAUGGCUAAGUGGAAUGCCCGGAUGGGUCUGGAUGGUCAGUGCAUUCUGUGCAGCAAAUUGGUCAACUAAAUACUUGAAAAUCACGUCUUGACGUUCCGAUAAGCGCACAUUCUGGGACUCAAUGUUGUAAAACCAGCCGUCUAUCUCCCGCUGGACAGCUUCGGGGACCACACCUCGAUGAGCA